GACGAACGCUGGCGGUGUGCUUCACACAUGCAAGUCGAACGGGUAGCAAUACCCAGUGGCGGACGGGUGAGUAACACGUGGGAAUCUACCAUUAGAUGGGGAAUAACAGGCCGAAAGGACUGCUAAUGCCGCAUAUGUAUGUGCCUCGACAGGGGCGUAUAUGAAAGGAGUAAUCCGUCUGAUGAUGAGCCCGCGUACCGAUUAGCUAGUUGGAGGUAAAAGCCUACCAAGGCGACGAUCGGUAGGUGGUCGUGAAGAGGAUGA
rnacentral:rRNA from 1 species